rnacentral:lncRNA from 1 species
UUUAUAUCUAAUGCAUGGAAGAAAUGAUUGAUAUGUUCCAUCUCUUCAUGACAGGUAUGAGCAAGACAUAAUGGAUUUCAUUUUCAGUAUGGAUCCACAAAGUCAAAACAUUAGUGAGUAAUUUUAUUUGUGAAAGCAAGUAUUUCUUUGUUUAUCGUGGUACAGCGCAAGUUCCUUCAAACAAGUGUUCUGCUUGUUUCUACUGAUGCUCUUGGUCCCCAUACAGAACAGAUCUAUCUUGGCCCUGGAAACAGACUUUGUGGGCUUUUCACAAGUACUAGAAGAAGCUGGCUCUAAUAUUUGAGAAAUGAUCCCCUCUACAGAUUCAACCCAAUCUUCAUAGAGAUAUUCCUGUAAUUGAAGGCUCUGAAAAGUUCCUGUCUCUCUGGAUAGACUGAGAACAACUCUGUCCACUUGUCCUUCUUUGCUCUCUCUUCCUCCUUCAGCCUAUAGGAUCUGGAAGCAGGGCUUGGAGAACCAGCCAACAUAUGCAUGCAAAAUGCUCAGAAAUUCUCUACCCAUUGCUAAGGAAUACUUCUGUACUUUGGAACUGACCAUGUGGAGACAAAAGCUGUGA